UCUGGUGAUGAUGUUCUUUAGGGUAAUACCCGUUCCCAUUCCGAACACGACGGUUAAGCCUUUAGAAGCCGAUGGUACUGCACGGGAGACUGUGUGGGAGAGUAGGUGGUCGCCAGGU
rnacentral:rRNA from 1 species